AUCCAGAGCGAUGGUCAACCUCAUCUUUGCUAGCACCAGCAGACCAAGAUGCACAAGUGGCUGUUUGGAGCUUCCAUAAAGGAUGUUCAGCAUCUGCCUGCAGCAUCUCCAAUGUAAAGAUGAUUCAGAAGUGCUUUAGCACCCCAGAGACUUUCACGGUGGGCUGAACCCUCUAAAACGUUAGCUGGGUAUUUGGAAUUUCUAGCUUAAAAGGAAGGAUAGCUUCAAUUUUGGCUUUGAGGCAAAAGCAAGCCCUACAAUUGAGAGUCUCAGGCUUCCCCUCUCCAAACUUCUUUCCCCUGAGCAGAAGACACUUUUGCAUUGACACUUGCCACCAUGCAGAAUACAGUGGAUCUGAAGACAAAGGCAAACUUUUUGCACAAUGAGUACAUAUGGAAAUUGCACUGAACAGCCUUCACUGCUUUGCUACCACAAACCAUAAUAUCUAACGUGGCACCGCUUCAGGGUCCUAGAUCUGCUUUCCUGCUAACGUUGCUCUAGCUGAUAAUGCUCAUCUCUUCAACUCUUCCCAGACAGGCCCCAAGGAAGGGAGCAAAGUAACUUCACAGGUAAUGAAGCAUUUAAUUAUUUAUUAAUUACAGCUCUGUCCAGGUCCAAAAUGAACAGAACAGUCCUGCAAUUUACCUGGCCACUGGAGACUGACUCAACACUAUAUAAUGAUGCUGCUGGUGACCAUGCUGCCAACUCAUACAAUGCACUCAUCAUCACCCAGAAUUAAGUGGCCACAGUCAAGGACAUGCAGGUGCUCUAGGUUUUACCUCUUUGCCUUACUCAGAACCACUUGUGCCACUCACUGCCAUUAGGAAGCUGUGACCUGGGAGAUGCAGAGCUUUGUCUUUGGAGCAGGAGGAGACCUGCUAUGGGCAGGCUAAGCACUAGACAUGCAAGUUCAUGGGGUGAAAGCAAGGACCCCAUGGGAAAAGGCUGGGAAUCAUGACUGUGCACAAAGAUCAGGGCAGACCCUGCAGUCCUCCAAGUGCGUCACAAGGGAAGGCUGCAAGUGUCUUCCCACUCCUGUGCUAUUAAAGCUCCCCUCUUUUCCUUCUGCUUCCAACUUAAAAAAGGGAUCUGAGCUUUUGUCAGAUGUGUUUUUAAAUCCUUUUCCAAGAGGCUUCUAUAGGUGCUGUUAUGGCUCUUUUCAGCAAGAGAAAAUGGACAAGUGACAUCAAAUGUAUGUAUUAUUUUGGGGGAAAAAAGGCAACUUUUUAGUCAUCUUGUAUACCUGCAACCACAGAACACAGGAUUUGCAAAUCCACCAUGUGACUUUGAAGGUAAUUGUGUUCCAUUAAUGCCAAUACUCUUGGAGGAAUGAAGUGUCUCAUCUCUAAAUUACUUCUGUGGUUUUAAUUGAGUAUCAUUUGCUUCACCUUAGCAGCUUGUGUAUGUGUCAGAGGAGGGAAUUCACCCCAAAGGAAGUUCCAUUUUUUUGGGUGUCUAAAGUAGCAAAUAAGCAACACUCGGUGUGGCAAUGAGAAACCUACACUUUUCUUCAGCUGGGAAGAGAAAACAGCUCUUUGCUCCUUUCCUCCUGCAACUUACUGCUUUUAUUGCUAUAAUCACUUCUAUGGUUUGAGCUUUCAAUGCCUGUGUCUUCCUGUCCAUGUCAGGACACAAGAACAUGGCACCCUGCAAAUGCACCCUGGUUUUUGCACCCCCACUGUCUGGGGUGGAAGGGGUGAGACCUGCAAGCAAAUGCCUCCUUAGUGCAAUGCAGAGGGAGCAAAGGCAUCAGCUAGAGGGGCUUGAUGGGGUGUUUUGGUCCCUGCUGUGCAGAGCAGUGAUUUGGUUUAUAUAAGACAUCGUUUCUAACACUUUCUACCCCAACCACUUGGUUGAUUAACUCAUGGUUAAUUCCUCCAGCAUGGCAUUAUGUGAGAUCUUAAAACCUCUUUAUAAUCGCUUGUCCCCUCUUAAUCCGAAGCAGGUACACAGGCACUUCCACCAUGGAAGUGAUAAAGGAAAGCAGGGUGAAAAGGUAAUUCAACGAGAAAAACCUAAAAGGUUAAAAGUAAAUAUGCAACUCAGACUGAAAUUGGCUGUUUGCUGCUAGACCAGGCUUUGCUGGGCUUGCACCUCACUGGCCAUGCCACAGCUUUGCUAACCCUGCUCUGGCAGAGCCUGGCCCGUGCCAAGUGCCUGUGUCAUGGGAGUGAGUUAAUAGUGAGAAGCCGAGGUGGUGCUGACAAGGCAAACUGCUCAUUGCACAACCAACGGAGCCUCGCGCUGCUCAUGGGUUAAUUUUAUACCAGCAAAGACUUGCCACCUACCAAGGAUUUAAACAAAAAUAACCCCCACUACCAUUUAGGCUUUACACUGAUUUCACUGAGGCUUCUAGCUGGAAAAAAAAAAAAGCAUUUCACAUAAAAUGUAAUAUUUAGAAUAGGCACAGGGCCUUUGGUCAAAGUCCAUAGGGUGCAUGUUCAGCCAGCACCACGUGGGACGUGGUUCUCAUAAUCUCAGUGUCCCUUCCUCAGCUAGAGCACAAAAAACUGUGUUUGAAACAACAAAGUGUAAGAUAUUAGGAAUGAGAUCGAUGGACAGCGAUAUUAAAUUAAAUGUAGCUCACUUCCAUGCACUGUUUAUGAAUUAGUGGUCUAAUGGGAAAUGCUUCUCCCUUCCCUUAUUUCAGUGGAGAAAUCUGCAUAUAUGCAGGUUGCUCCGCUGAUGCAAGUAAAUAACUCCCCCAUUACAAUGAAUUUGGAAGACUCUUGAAUACAUCUGCUGUCAUGAGAGUUCAGAUUUAUAGCCUCAGACUCUGUUUAACUUGUAAUUAAUAUGGACUUCCGCAUUUCUUUUUCCUCUUCCAGAAUAAUAUUCUAUUAGUCAUGACAGCAAAAAAGUGCCCUAUUUGGGCAACGAUUCAAUUUCUUCUGAGCUCCCAUCGACAUCAAGUCCCACUUGUCCAGAGCAGGGACUUGAUGGAACAAACUGCAGGGACCUGCUGGGGAAAUCUUAUUUGCUGUGGAUUGCUCCAUCCAACUAAAAAUACCAUUCUGCAGCUUCAGAGAGGGGAUAAAGGUAGAAAUGAGACAUCAGGGUGCAGGGAACAUGCCUACACCCUGCAAGCACGAUGCUGGAGGCAUCUGCUAUGGAAAGGGCCAGGAUGAAGCUGUUGCUUCCGAACCCCAGGGACUGUUUUAUCUCCUGCAGCCCGCACUACGGUUGCAUGCAAAGCACAUCACCUCCACUUCCCGCAUGGCACACGUAGGGUCCAAGGAGCAGUUCUGCCCUCUAACCUAGGUGAGAUUCCUUGCAGGGAGCAAGUGUUAUCAGAGAAUAACCAUCCUGGUUGCAUGUUCCCCUGACAAGCAGCAUUAGGAAAAAAAGCAUUAAUCUCUGGCAAAUCCUGAGCACAACUUUGGAAAGGAUUCAAAGCAGGGAGAGGGCUCCGCAGCCCAGCAGCUGGCUAGAGCUCCACACAGUAUUUUAGAAAGCUGACGAGGAACCUCCUGUGCAACACAUGAAAGCUGAUCCUGAAAUGCAGAUUAUGCCUCCCUUAAUUCAUCCUGAAGAGCGAUACCUCUGCUGCAAACCCCUUCCAGAGCGAAACCUCCGCCUGAACAGCUGAACUUGGAAAAGUUAUCCGUGCAAGGAAUUCAGACUUAGACACCCGUAUUGCACAGCGCGGGAUGGACGGGAAACGGAUUCAAGAAUGAUGCCAUUCAUUGAGAUCAUGUUUUGUGGGUUGGCUACUUGCAUUUUCCCCAUUUUCCUGGUAUGAAGAAGGAUGGACAAAGCGAGUGCAUGGGAUAAGCAGCACCCCAGCAGGGUGGGCUGCACGGCCACCAGCUCAGCUCCCUGCCACCACUGGCUCCAUGUGCUGCAGCCAUCCCAGCCCGAGGCUUUUGGGGACCCCUAGGAAGAAGCUGCUCCCCUGCCCUACUACGGGUCUUGCAGGGACCCUCCCUCAAGCAGCAGCGGGCAUCGCUCAGUUCAACUCUGCAUUAUCAAACUUCUCUGGCUCUUUCUAUUGGAAACUUUUAACAAUUCUCUGCUUGGCUGGAACGGAUGACUGCAGCAAACCCAAAUUAGGAAUAAAUUAUACAACAACUUUACAUUUUUCUUACAAAGGAAAACUGUGUGGCAAGAGCUGUGAAAGCACCUCCUUCCCAUGGCCUCCCUGCGAGGCUUGUGGAGGAAGGCCACGGGCUCCACAGAUGGCUUGGGAUUUAAAAACAAAACAGCAAGAAGCAGCCCCGGUCCCAGUUUGGGAUCUGCUCUGCUAUGCACUGGCUCGCACCCCCCCUGCUCCCCAAUAUGCAUGAGGGCUGCAGAAUGCAAGAGCCAAGCUGCAACAGCAAAUCCACCCAUUUAAAAGAAGCUCCAAAAGCUGCAUCUGCUGACAUAUGGGCAUCUAUUUCCACAAUGAAUGGCCGGAGCAACUCCUCCUUAAAAACAUCUCCAGCCGGCUCUUGCAGGGACUAUUGCAUUCCCACUGCAUUUUUGCAAUAUUAAACUCCCCACCUCCUCCCUCCCACCAACCAUCACCCCUUCCUUGCAGGACACAAGGCAGAAUCACGCCGGAUCAGUUCACAAGCAAAGCUCAAAGCUUGCCCACCACGCUGGCAAAAGAAAGCCAUCAAUGCAAGAAGAAGAAGAAUAAAUCACUGCCGUCCCCUCCCCAAACGCUAAAUAAAGCAGCUCUCAGCGAUCUGGUGUUACAAACCUCCGACCAAAAGUUACCAAAUAUUGAAGGGGGGGGAAGGGGGGGGAUCGGUGGAAAAUGAUCUCAGUCCUGGCACAAGAACAAUACUUUCCCAUGGAAACAUAGAGGUAUAUAUUUAAUUCCUUGCUCACUCGCACUCAAGUUUCACCUUUCAUCUCCUCCCAGGACUUGUUUCAAAGUUUCAUCUCAAUGAAACGAGCCCGCAAUCCGCACGCACGGCCGCAACCCCGAUUUACUCCUCGACACCCUUUUAUCUCCUUGCUGACCGGUGCAGGAGGUGGGGGACACGCACACACACACACUCGGUGAUCCCGGCUGAAGAAUUCCACUAACGCCAAAGCGCAGCUGAACGGCGAACGCAGCCUGCAGGAACUGUGCCUGGGUGGAUGUGUGUGUGUGUGUGUGUGUGUGUGUGAGUGCGUGUGCGCACCCGCGCCCAACAGGAAAUGCAACGGGGGGAGCCACGGAGAAGCUUCAAACUUCAAA